rnacentral:rRNA from 1 species
GAUGAACGCUGGCGGCGUGCCUAAUACAUGCAAGUCGAGCGAACAGAUGAGGAUCUUGCUCCUCUGACGUUAGCGGCGGACGGGUGAGUAACACGUGGAUAACCUACCUAUAAGACUGGGAUAACUUCGGGAAACCGGAGCUAAUACCGGAUAAUAUAUUGAACCGCAUGGUUCAAUAGUGAGAGACGGUUUUGCUGUCACUGAUAGAUGGAUCCGCGCCGCAUUAGCUAGUUUGUAAGGUAACGGCUUACCAAGGCAACGAUGCGUAGCCGACCUGAGAGGGUGAGCGGCCACACUGGAACUGAGACACGCUCCAGACUCCUACGGGAGGCAGCAGUAGGGAAUCUUCCGCAAAGGGCGAAAGCCUGACGGAGCAACGCCGCGUGAGUGAUGAAGGUCUUCGGAUCGUAAAACUCUGUUAUUAGGGAAGAACAAAUGUGUAAGUAACUAUGCACGUCUUGACGGUACCUAUUCAGAAAGCCACGGCUAACUACGUG